AGUUCGAUCCUGGCUCAGGAUGAACGCUAGCUACAGGCUUAACACAUGCAAGUCGAGGGGCAGCAUUUUAGUUUGCUUGCAAACUGAAGAUGGCGACCGGCGCACGGGUGAGUAACACGUAUCCAACCUGCCGAUAACUCCGGAAUAGCCUUUCGAAAGAAAGAUUAAUACCGGAUAGUAUACGAAUAUCACAUGAUAUUUUUAUUAAAGAAUUUCGGUUAUCGAUGGGGAUGCGUUCCAUUAGUUUGUUGGCGGGGUAACGGCCCACCAAGACUACGAUGGAUAGGGGUUCUGAGAGGAAGGUCCCCCACAUUGGAACUGAGACACGGUCCAAACUCCUACGGGAGGCAGCAGUGAGGAAUAUUGGUCAAUGGGCGAGAGCCUGAACCAGCCAAGUAGCGUGAAGGAUGAAGGCUCUAUGGGUCGUAAACUUCUUUUAUAUGGGAAUAAAGUUUUCCACGUGUGGAAUUUUGUAUGUACCAUAUGAAUAAGGAUCGGCUAACUCCGUGCCAGCAGCCGCGGUAAUACGGAGGAUCCGAGCGUUAUCCGGAUUUAUUGGGUUUAAAGGGAGCGUAGGUGGAUUGUUAAGUCAGUUGUGAAAGUUUGCGGCUCAACCGUAAAAUUGCAGUUGAAACUGGGAGUCUUGAGUACAGUAGAGGUGGGCGGAAUUCGUGGUGUAGCGGUGAAAUGCUUAGAUAUCACGAAGAACUCCGAUUGCGAAGGCAGCUCACUAGACUGUCACUGACACUGAUGCUCGAAAGUGUGGGUAUCAAACAGGAUUAGAUACCCUGGUAGUCCACACAGUAAACGAUGAAUACUCGCUGUUUGCGAUAUACAGUAAGCGGCCAAGCGAAAGCAUUAAGUAUUCCACCUGGGGAGUACGCCGGCAACGGUGAAACUCAAAGGAAUUGACGGGGGCCCGCACAAGCGGAGGAACAUGUGGUUUAAUUCGAUGAUACGCGAGGAACCUUACCCGGGCUUAAAUUGCAACAGAAUAUAUUGGAAACAGUAUAGCCGUAAGGCUGUUGUGAAGGUGCUGCAUGGUUGUCGUCAGCUCGUGCCGUGAGGUGUCGGCUUAAGUGCCAUAACGAGCGCAACCCUUAUCUUUAGUUACUAACAGGUCAUGCUGAGGACUCUAGAGAGACUGCCGUCGUAAGAUGUGAGGAAGGUGGGGAUGACGUCAAAUCAGCACGGCCCUUACGUCCGGGGCUACACACGUGUUACAAUGGGGGGUACAGAAGGCGGCUACCUGGUGACAGGAUGCUAAUCCCAAAAACCUCUCUCAGUUCGGAUCGAAGUCUGCAACCCGACUUCGUGAAGCUGGAUUCGCUAGUAAUCGCGCAUCAGCCAUGGCGCGGUGAAUACGUUCCCGGGCCUUGUACACACCGCCCGUCAAGCCAUGAAAGCCGGGGGUACCUGUAGUACGUAACCGCAAGGAGCGUCCUAGGGUAAAACUGGUAAUUGGGGCUAAGUCGUAACAAGGUAGCC
rnacentral:rRNA from 1 species